rnacentral:rRNA from 1 species
UGCCAACCCCCGCGGUAACACGAAACGGACAAACGUUAUUCGGGAAUUAUUGGGCUUAAAGGGUGCGUAGGCGGCUUAGUAGGUGGGGUGUGAAAUCCCUCGGCUCAACCGAGGAACUGCGCCCCAAACCCCUAGGCUCGAGGGAGACAGAGGUAAGCGGAACUGAUGGUGGAGCGGUGAAAUGCGUUGAUAUCAUCAGGAACACCGGUGGCGAAAGCGGGCUUACUGGGUCUCUUCUGACGCUGAGGCACGAAAGCUAGGGUAGCGAACAGGAUUAGAUA